AUAUUCUUUUAAAACUUUUGGUAGCCUAGAGUAACAUGAGGAGAUACUGGCAUUCAGAAAGUUCUUUAAAUAAGUUUGGCUUAUCAGAAAACACAGAGGAACCUUCGCUCAUAAGCUAAAGCUCACUAGCCCCAUGGCUUUGGGUAUGGAACUCAUACUAAAUCUGGGAUUGUGAUAAGGUAUAUGAAGCACGUGUUGAGAUCCUGGGACACAGUAGGCACUUAGUAAACUGUGGCUGACACUUCCAGGUUGCAAUUAAUAGGCAGAACUUCCAUUUUUUUGUUUUGCCAUCAACAAGAAGGCACAGAUUCUUAUUUAGUCCGAAUCCAGAUUCACAGAUCUGUACUCGAGGUAUAAAACAUACAAACACUGCCAUCAUAGAAUCUCUGGGGUUACAGGAACAUAGCAUGAAAAGCUGCUGAAGGGAGCCAAGUCUGCUGGUCAGUGGCGUGGAUCUGAGGACAGCUGCCUUUCAGAGGCUUUAAGUCCCUAAGAAGAUAAGGACAAGGUCACUGAGGCCAUUGUAAUUCAGAUCCCUAAAGUCUUUAACAAGUUCCAUGAGAGUAAAAUACCUUGCAAAAAGACAUUUGGGGGGGUGACAGAUAUGCUCAAUAUCUUGAUUGCAGUGAUUUCACAGGUAUAUACAUUAAUUAAAACAUCAAAUUAUAUACUUGAAAAACUACUUCAAUAAAGCCAUUUG